GACAGAGGAUGCAAGCGUUAUCCGGAAUGAUUGGGCGUAAGCGUCUGUAGGUGGCUUUUAAGUCCGCCGUCAAAUCCCAGGGCUCAACCCUGGACAGGCGGUGGAAACUACCAAGCUGGAGUACGGUAGGGCAGAGGGAAUUCCGGUGGAGCGGUGAAAUGCGUAGAGAUCGGAAGAACACCAACGGCGAAAGCACUCUGCUGGCCGACACUGACACUGAGAGACGAAAGCUAGGGAGCGAAUGGG
rnacentral:rRNA from 1 species